GACGUCGUUCCAAAGCCGUAAUUAGUGUCAGGUGUGGCUGCUUGUCACGUCAAGUGACCCAAAAACUCUACAAGUGACGAGAUCACACGGACCACGAGGACCAUCAACAGAGAUGAGGGAUCCUACACAUUAUCGCACAUCUGGUAUGCUGUCCUCUGCAAGGCGCCAGAUAACGGGGGCCUGGAUAAGAACAGCUGACAAGACAUGUCACGGCAACAUCAUGUGACCCUUUUGAGGAAGCAGCAGAAACAUGUCAAGACUGGACACUUUUGUCAAGAUGGGUCACUACAAAAUUGGAUGAGCCAACGGAAAAAGGCUGUGCCAUUACGACUUGGUGUGAGG